rnacentral:rRNA from 1 species
GGCUCAGGAUGAACGCUAGCGGCAGGCUUAAUACAUGCAAGUCGUGGGGCAGCACAGGUAGCAAUACUGGGUGGCGACCGGCAAACGGGUGCGGAACACGUACGCAACCUUCCCAAAACUGGUGAAUAGCCCUCCGAAAGGAGGAUUAAUACACCGUAACAUAAUGAAGUGGCAUCACUUUAUUAUUAUAGCUCCGGCGGUUUUGGAUGGGCGUGCGCCUGAUUAGGUAGUUGGCGGGGUAACGGCCCACCAAGCCUGCGAUCAGUAACUGGUGUGAGAGCACGACCAGUCACACGGGCACUGAGACACGGGCCCGACUCCUACGGGAGGCAGCAGUAAGGAAUAUUGGUCAAUGGACGCAAGUCUGAACCAGCCAUGCCGCGUGAAGGAUGAAGGUCCUCUGGAUUGUAAACUUCUUUUAUAGGGGACGAAAAAAGGGAAUUCUUUCUCACUUGACGGUACCCUAGGAAUAAGCACCGGCUAACUCCGUGCCAGCAGCCGCGGUAAUACGGAGGGUGCAAGCGUUAUCCGGAUUUACUGGGUUUAAAGGGUGCGUAGGUGGGUCUGUAAGUCAGUGGUGAAAUCUCCGGGCUUAACUCGGAAACUGCCAUUGAUACUAUAGAUCUUGAAUACUCUGGAGGUAAGCGGAAUAUGUCAUGUAGCGGUGAAAUGCUUAGAUAUGACAUAGAACACCAAUUGCGAAGGCAGCUUACUACGGGGUCAUUGACACUGAGGCACGAAAGCGUGGGGAUCAAACAGGAUUAGAUACCCUGGUAGUCCACGCCCUAAACGAUGGAUACUCGACAUCAGCGAUACACUGUUGGUGUCUGAGCGAAAGCAUUAAGUAUCCCACCUGGGA